UGGGGAAUAUUGCACAAUGGGCGAAAGCCUGAUGCAGCAACGCCGCGUGAGUGAUGAAGGUCUUCGGAUUGUAAAGCUCUGUCUUUUGGGACGAUAAUGACGGUACCAAAGGAGGAAGCCACGGCUAACUACGUGCCAGCAGCCGCGGUAAUACGUAGGUGGCGAGCGUUGUCCGGAUUUACUGGGCGUAAAGGGUGCGUAGGCGGAUGUUUAAGUGAGAUGUGAAAUACCCGGGCUUAACUUGGGUGCUGCAUUUCAAACUGGAUAUCUAGAGUGCAGGAGAGGAGAAUGGAAUUCCUAGUGUAGCGGUGAAAUGCGUAGAGAUUAGGAAGAACACCAGUGGCGAAGGCGAUUCUCUGGACUGUAACUGACGCUGAGGCACGAAAGCGUGGGUAGCAAACAGGAUUAGAUACCCUGGUAGUCCACGCCGUAAAACGAUGGAGUAG
rnacentral:rRNA from 1 species